GAUGAACGCUGGCGGCGUGCCUAACACAUGCAAGUCGAGCGAACAGACGAGGAGCUUGUUCCUCUGACGUUAGCGGCGGAAGGGUGAGUAACACGUGGAUAACCUACCUAUAAGACUGGGAUAACUUCGGGAAACCGGAGCUAAUAACGGCUGAUAUAUUGAACCGCAUGGUUCAAUACUGAUAGACGGUUUUGCUGUCACUUAUAGAUGGAUCCACGCCUCAUUAGCUAGUUGGUAAGGUAACAGCUUACCAAGGAAACUAUGGGUAGCCGACCUCAGAGGGAGAUUGGCCAGACGGGAAGUGAGACUGGGCCGAGACACCGACGCGAGGCAGCAGUAGGGAAUCCUACGCGAUGGACGAAUGCCGGACAGUGCAACGUCGGGGGAGUCAUGAAGGAGUGCGGCCCGGAGAACUCAGUUAUUAGGCAAUAACAAAUGUGUAAGUAGCAAUGCAGGACUUGACGGUACCUAAUCAGAAAGCCACGGCUAACUACGUG
rnacentral:rRNA from 1 species